UAGGGAAUCUUCGGCAAUGGACGGAAGUCUGACCGAGCAACGCCGCGUGAGUGAAGAAGGUUUUCGGAUCGUAAAGCUCGGUUGUAAGAGAAGAACGAGUGUGAGAGUGGAAAGUUCACACUGUGACGGUAUCUUACCAGAAAGGGACGGCUAACUACGUGCCAGCAGCCGCGGUAAUACGUAGGUCCCGAGCGUUGUCCGGAUUUAUUGGGCGUAAAGCGAGCGCAGGCGGUUAGAUAAGUCUGAAGUUAAAGGCUGUGGCUUAACCAUAGUAGGCUUUGGAAACUGUUUAACUUGAGUGCAAGAGGGGAGAGUGGAAUUCCAUGUGUAGCGGUGAAAUGCGUAGAUAUAUGGAGGAACACCGGUGGCGAAAGCGGCUCUCUGGCUUGUAACUGACGCUGAGGCUCGAAAGCGUGGGGAGCAAACAGGAUUAGAUACCCUGGUAGUCCACGCUGUAAACGUUGAGUGCUAGGUGUUAGACCCUUUCCGGGGUUUAGUGCCGUAGCUAACGCAUUAAGCACUCCGCCUGGGGAGUACGACCGCAAGGUUG
rnacentral:rRNA from 1 species